rnacentral:sRNA from 1 species
AGGCUCUGUGCUGGGUGCCAGGAACACAGCACUGACCACGACAAAGCCCCUGCCUUAGAAAGAUGACAUUUCAGUACAAGGACAGAGAUGGCAAAUGGACAAGCAAGUGAAUGAAUGUGUCAGGAAGCAAUGUGGCAGGGAAGAAAGACUUAAAAGCAGGGCAAGAGAAUAGAGCUGCCAUUUAGGCAGGAAAGACCUCUUGUGCUGACAUUUGAAGUGAGGGGGCAGCCAUAUUUAUGGUCAAUGUUACAUGGGAUGGCAAAGACUUAUCCUUCACUGAGGAAGGCUACCAGGUGCACCCCAGGCUGGUGGUGAUUGUGCUGAACAAAGACCGGGAAUGGGAAAAGGUGGGCAAGUGGGAGAACCAGACGCUGAGCCUGAGGCACGCCGUGUGGCCCAGGUACAAGUCCUUCUCCGACUGU